AUUCUACUCCCUCUGUUCCACAAUACAUGCCUUCUAUUUGUCAAAAUAUAGAUGUAUCUAGACAUGUUUUAGUAUAUAGGUACAUCCAUUUUUGGACAAAUGGAAGUCAAGUAUUUUGGAAUGGAGGGAGUACACA
rnacentral:pre_miRNA from 1 species